GUCUGGGCAAGGCUUCCCCAAACUCAGUCUGACACACCAGAACUCCACAUUCAUUCUGGGUUGGUGAGGGCUGGGAGCCCCUCUCCGUCAGCAGGCUUUCACCUGGACAGGUUACUGAUGAACUGCUGCAUCAACAGCGCUGUCCUAGGACAGCCCAGCAAAGGUCCUAAAACAAGAUAGAAAUGAAAGUGUAUCUUUCCAUUUCCACUUGCCUACGGAGCAAUCUACCGAAUCGUUCAUGAACUGAGGGCAGAAAUUCCAGCAAGGAAGCUGUCCUGUAUCAACAACAAACUCAG